UACGUAGGUGACAAGCGUUAUCCGGAAUUACUGGGCGUAAAGCGCACGCAGGCGGUGUGGUAAGUCUGAUGUGAAAUCUCCUGGCUUAACUGGGAGGGGUCAUUGGAAACUGCCGUACUUGAGGCGAUGAGAGGGGUGUAGAAUUCCCGGUGUAGUGGUGGAAUGCGUAGAUAUCGGGAGGAAUACAAGUGGCGAAAGCGACACCCUGGCAUUAGCCUGACGCUCAUGUGCGAAGGCGUGGGGAGCGAACGGG
rnacentral:rRNA from 1 species